rnacentral:rRNA from 1 species
GACGAACGCUGGCGGCGUGCCUAAUACAUGCAAGUAGGACGCAGUUGCGAACGGGUGAGUAACGCGUAGGUAACUACCUAUUAGAGGGGAAUAACUAUUGGAAACGAUAGCGAAUACCGCCUACUAGUAGAUGGACCUGCGUUGUAUUAGCUAGUAGGUAGGGUAAUGGCCUACCUAGGCAACGAUACAUAGCCGACCCGAGGUGGUGAUCGGCCACACUGGGACGGAGACACGGCCCAGACCUCUACGGGAGGCAGCAGGAGGGAAUCUUCGGCAAUUGGGGGAACCCUGACCGAGCAACGCCGCGUGAGGUAAGAAGGUCUUCGGAGCGUAAAGCUCUGUUGUUAAGGAAGCGGUACUUAACCAGAAAGGGACGGCUAACUACGUGCCAGCCGCCGCGGUAAUAC